UAUUGGACAAUGGGGGCAACCCUGAUCCAGCCAUGCCGCGUGAGUGAUGAAGGCCCUAGGGUUGUAAAGCUCUUUUGUGCGGGAAGAUAAUGACGGUACCGCAAGAAUAAGCCCCGGCUAACUUCGUGCCAGCAGCCGCGGUAAUACGAAGGGGGCUAGCGUUGCUCGGAAUCACUGGGCGUAAAGGGUGCGUAGGCGGGUUUUUAAGUCAGAGGUGAAAUCCUGGAGCUCAACUCCAGAACUGCCUUUGAUACUGGAAAUCUUGAGUAUGGGAGAGGUGAGUGGAACUGCGAGUGUAGAGGUGAAAUUCGUAGAUAUUCGCAAGAACACCAGUGGCGAAGGCGGCUCACUGGCCCAUAACUGACGCUGAGGCACGAAAGCGUGGGGAGCAAACAG
rnacentral:rRNA from 1 species